GUUUGGCACAAGACUUCCCGAGCAGGACAUGUAACCCACAAAAUUUAGCCAGUGUCCAGGGCUUCUCACAGCUUUGCUUCUUGUGAGAUUAAACGAAGAUGGUCUUAAAAUGGUUUUACCACAAGAAAACUUCCCCACAAGGAAUACACCUGUUGUCUUCCCCUGAGGCCUCACACUGCCACUCUGAGGAGUUUACAACUAAAUGAUAGAUCCAGAUGGUUUACCACAGAUCAUGGGGAGACAAUACAGAUUUGUUUAGAGAAGAAGUCCUCUGCAAGUCUUUAACUCAAGGGAUAGACUAAUGGACUGUAAGCCAUGAAUCCUCACCUGAUGAAAGGUCUUGAGAUGGCCAAGACGGUCCGGAUGAACCACGUUGGCACUUCUUCAGCCAGCUGAUGCCGGGCAUCUUCCUGCGAGGAGUUGCUCCGUUCAGGUACGGUCUGAUGACCUGCAUAUCAAUCCGCUGCUCCUGGUCACCAAUGAUCACUGUUCGCCACAGACGACCAGAUGAGUCUCUCUCCUCUUCACUUUCACCUGGAAGACGCUUGGCAGUGGCCACAGGAGUGUCGUCUAGACACAAGUUGGCAGCAAUUUGUGACUGGACAGCCAGAGGAAGAUGACGUGUGACGCCUGAGGCAGGGCUCAAAUCAAGGACACUGCAGCUCGUUGCCAUUGUUGAUAAACUCCAGCGAAUCUGUCUCAUCAGGAGUCUCGAUGUCGUCUACGUUGAUGUCCAGGUCAUCGGGCGUUUCCAGAAACUCAUCAGAGAGCACGGACCCCUCGCUCUGAUCCAGAGAG